CCUACGGGAGGCAGCAGUGAGGAAUAUUGGUCAAUGGACGCGAGUCUGAACCAGCCAAGUAGCGUGAAGGAUGACGGCUCUAUGGGUUGUAAACUUCUUUUAUACAGGAAUAAACCGAGGUACGCGUGUCUUUUUGCAAGUACUUUAUGAAUAAGGAUCGGCUAACUCCGUGCCAGCAGCCGCGGUAAUACGGAGGAUCCAAGCGUUAUCCGGAUUUAUUGGGUUUAAAGGGUGCGUAGGCGGAUUGAUAAGUUAGAGGUGAAAUGUCCGGGCUUAACUUGGGAACUGCCUCUAAUACUGUUGGGCUAGAGAGUAGAUGCGGUAGGCGGAAUGUAUGGUGUAGCGGUGAAAUGCUUAGAGAUCAUACAGAACACCGAUUGCGAAGGCAGCUUACCAAUCUAUAUCUGACGUUGAGGCACGAAAGCGUGGGGAGCAAACAGGAUUAGAUACCCCCAUAGUC
rnacentral:rRNA from 1 species